rnacentral:rRNA from 1 species
AUUGAACGCUGGCGGCAUGCCUUACACAUGCAAGUCGAACGGUAACAGGUCUUCGGAUGCUGACGAGUGGCGAACGGGUGAGUAAUACAUCGGAACGUGCCCAGACGUGGGGGAUAACGAGGCGAAAGCUUUGCUAAUACCGCAUACGAUCUAAGGAUGAAAGCAGGGGACCGCAAGGCCUUGUGCGUUUGGAGCGGCCGAUGGCAGAUUAGGUAGUUGGUGGGAUAAAAGCUUACCAAGCCGACGAUCUGUAGCUGGUCUGAGAGGACGACCAGCCACACUGGGACUGAGACACGGCCCAGACUCCUACGGGAGGCAGCAGUGGGGAAUUUUGGACAAUGCGCGAAAGCCUGAUCCAGCAAUGCCGCGUGCAGGAUGAAGGCCUUCGGGUUGUAAACUGCUUUUGUACGGAACGAAAAGGCUCUGGCUAAUACCUGGGGCACAUGACGGUACCGUAAGAAUAAGCACCGGCUAACUACGUG